CGCAAGCCUGACGGAGCAACGCCGCGUGAGGGAUGAAGGCCUCUGGGCUGUAAACCUCUUUUCUCAAGGAAGAAAAAAAUGACGGUACUUGAGGAAUAAGCAUCGGCUAACUCCGUGCCAGCAGCCGCGGUAAUACGGAGGAUGCAAGCGUUAUUCGGAAUUAUUGGGCGUAAAGCGUCCGCAGGUGGUAUUUCAAGUCUGCUGUCAAAGACCGAAGCUUAACUUCGGAAAGGCAGUGGAAACUGAAAAACUAGAGUACGGUAGGGGUAGAGGGAAUUUCCAGUGUAGCGGUGAAAUGCGUAGAGAUUGGAAAGAACACCAGUGGCGAAGGCGCUCUACUGGGCCGUAACUGACACUCAGGGACGAAAGCUAGGGGAGCG
rnacentral:rRNA from 1 species